AACCUAGCACACCUGCGGUGUGUACCUGCGGAGGGAUCAUUACAUGAUUUAACAGGGAGUGGAGGCUUCGGCCAAAGCUCUGUCUGAACCCAUGUCUUUUGCGUACUUCUUGUUUCCUCGGUGGGCUUGCCCGCCGAUAGGACAACCUUAAACUCUUUGCAAUUGCAAUCAGCGUCUGAAAAACUAUAAUAGUUACAACUUUCAACAACGGAUCU
rnacentral:misc_RNA from 1 species